rfam:Glossina morsitans morsitans, isolate Yale, WGS project CCAG01000000 data, contig: ctg10017066
CAACGGUGAAGAGGUUAAUUGCAAUAUUUACGCAGACAGGAUCAACUAGAGAAUGAUCUUAUUAAACAUUGUGGACGUUCGUAGUUCAUGGAAUGAUUUGUCUGGCUGAUUCGGAUAACGAACGAGACUCAAAUAUACUAAGUAAACGCUUUCACGAUUAUGGUGUUGAAGUUUUUACGGUUCUCACUUACGAGCUUAGUAAAAUGUGUGAGUGUUUGAAUGUGUUUGUAAAAGUGGAGCCGUAUCUGUUGGUUUGUCCUUUUAUAGGACGCUAAGUUCUUAAGUAGACUUAAAUUGCGUCUACAAAUAAUGAGAUUGAGCAAUCACAGGUCUGCGACGCUCGUAGAUGCCCUGGGCUGCACGCGCGCUACAGUGAAAGUAUCAACGUGCUAGACCGAGAGGUUCGGGCAAACCACUGAACCACUUUCAGGCUUGGAAUUGUGAGCUGAAAUUGUUCACAUGAACUUGGAAUUCCCAGUAAUUGUGAGUCAUUAAUUCGCAUUAAUUAC